ACAAAGCUUAGGAGCUUGAAGGUCUGGCAGAUGUGCAUUCAAAUCUUGGAUUCGGGCAAUUGCUAUGUGACUAUCGGCAUGUCACUUAACCUUUUGUUUUAAAAACAAAUUUUUUAUUGAUUUCAGAGAGGAAGGGAAAGGGAGAGAAAAUCAUUGAUCGCUGCCUUCUGCACACCUCCUACUGUGGAUGGAACCUGCAACCCAGACAUGUGCCCUGAUCGUGAUUUGAAUCGUGACUCCUAGUGUCAUAGAUCAAUACCCAACCACUGAGCCACACCAAGUCUCCCAUCAGGAUAAAGCAGCAUUUGUCAUGCACAUACCGCCCUGUGCAGAAGUGAGGGAAGACUGCUGCAGAAGUGAAUACAGGCAACAUCUUUGAUCCCAGGGCACAGGUCUUUGAGAGGAAAUCUCCAAGCCUCUCGAGGAGGCAUUAGAAGGCUAUCCAGGCAGCAUAAGUACCUCAGGAUCAGGGGGCUGAUAAAUACCAGGAGAUCGGUGGCAUCCAUUUCUCUUUUCCCUUCACACCCUAUUCCAUCCAGAAAGACUUCAUGACAGUGCUGUACCAGUUGUUGGAGGAUGGCAAGAUUGGGAUAUUUGAGAUUCCUAUUGGCACUGUAAGUAUGAACAGUUGCCCCAAGAGGGCUCUUGGGAGACCUUGAUUACAACUAGUCAGAGGUUUAUUUGCCUCUGCAGAGAUUUUCAUGGUUUGGAAUUGGGCAAAGUAGUUUUCUCAGUUUACCUUUCUGAGUAAUGCUCACUUCCCUCUAUUAAAUUGUUAAACACAACCCCGGGUUCUAAGGAAAAUUAGGCUACAGGCAAAGGAGAAUUUGAAUGGCAGUGGUUCUCCUUUAGGGAGCAACAUAGAAAUUUAUUGCCCUGCCAGGUUGGGCUCAGUUGGUUGAGCAUUGUCCCAUGUACCAGGAGGUUACUGGUUUGAUUCCCGGUCAGGGCACGUGCCUGGUUUGUGGGUUGAACCCCAGUAGGGGCAUGCAGAAUAUAGCUGAUCAAUGUUU